UAUUUUUGAUAACUCUAAGAAUAUUUUUGAUAACUCCUUCUCUUCUCAAAUAGUAAUGCCUUUGUGGCCCCUUGGAUGCACUGCCGUUGAAAGUUUUCGAAUGGACUCUCGAUUUUUAUAGCAAUUUCACGAUCCGUAUGUUUGUUUUCUUUUCACGUUGAAGUUUUACAACUUAAAAGCCCAGAUCUCCCUCUCAACGAAUGUUAUAACUUCUAUAAAAGAAACUAAAACCCUAAAAUCUUCCAGAUCUCUCGAAACAAGAACCCUGGUCCCAGUCGUCAAAGAAACAUUUGUCUCUUGAAGCCCUAAUAUUUAAGAUCGACUAAUAGUGAGUUGGAGAUAUCGUCUGAUCGCACCGAAAAGCACUCAAUCAAGCCAAAUCCUUAAUCACCAGGUGCGCAGCUUUCUCUCUCUCUCUCUCUCUCUCUCUCUUAAACACACACUCGUGCACUACAAAGCACAACGAUGAUGAGUAGUACAUUUGGGAGUCACAGGCUGGUGGCUCCUUUACAGUGACAAGGGAUGCUAAUGGGAGGCCUUUAGGCAGGGUACCAAGAUUCUCUUCUUCUUGGAGGAGGAUCAGAGACUCUCUCUCUACUGUACUGUGUUCGUCUGUUAAGAAGCACACUGAGUUCAUCAGCUGUCCCAUCUAUACAAGGAGGAGGUUAGCAAUCGGUGGGCUCUGGUAACCUGGUUAACGAGCAAAAUCCCAAUUGGUUGAGAGCCAGAAGAUAUAACAAAGGAAGUGUGUUUCUUUCUACAAAUCACUGACCAACGACAGGGAAGAUCACCUUACUGUUAAGUGUUUCUCAGUUUGAGGGCCAGCUUGAGUUCAAGGCUAUUCUCUUUGUUUCAAAGAGGGCUCCAUUUGACCUCCUUGAUACUCGAAAGAAGCUGGAAAACAUCAAGCUCUAUGUUCGCAGGGCGUUUUGCAUCAACAAUUAUGAGAAGCUCAUCCGUGAAUGCAUAGGAUUUGGGAGAUGUUGCAGCAACACAAGAUCCUCAACGUUAUUGAAAAGAACAUUGUGAAGAAGGGAGAAUUUGACAAGAUGCUUAAGUUUGGUCUAAGCAUCGAUGAAGCUGAAGCUUCCAAGGAUGCCGACGUGCCUCAACUUAAGGAUGACGAGUAAGAUGAAAGAAGUUGACUAAAUAAAGUGGCACCUGGGAAUCUCUCUCCCACUUUCUCUUUCUCUCUCUAACGCAAGAACUGAAGUUUUUGGUCAUUUUUGGAGGGGGAAUGUAGAAAGUAUGAGUUGUUAAAUCGUGUUUCAUGGACGGUAAUGUUUUUUAAAGUAAUUAUUUCGUUAAUGAAAUAAAAUGAAAUUCAAUUUUAUUAUUUGGA